GAUGAACGCUAGCUACAGGCUUAACACAUGCAAGUCGAGGGGAAACGCUGAGAGAUCUUGCUCUCUUAGGCGUCGACCGGCGCACGGGUGAGUAACGCGUAUCCAACCUACCCAUUACAGGGGGAUAACCUUGCGAAAGUAAGACUAAUACCCCAUGGCAUUUUAUGGUGGCAUCAUUAUAGGAUUAAAGAUUUAUUGGUAAUGGAGGGGGAUGCGUCUGAUUAGCUUGUUGGCGGGGUAACGGCCCACCAAGGCAACGAUCAGUAGGGGUUCUGAGAGGAAGGUCCACCACAUUGGAACUGAGACACGGUCCAAACUCCUACGGGAGGCAGCAGUGAGGAAUAUUGGGCAAUGGGCGAGAGCUUGAACCAGCCAAGUAGCGUGUAGGAUGACGGCCCUAUGGGUUGUAAACUGCUUUUAUAGGGGAAUAAAGUGAGUUACGUGUAGUUUAUUGCCUGUACCCUAUGAAUAAGGAACGGCUAAUUCCGUG
rnacentral:rRNA from 1 species